CGUGUCAACGGUAACCAACAGCACGUGAUUACCUCAGUUAACGCACUGGUUGACACGAUUACCCAG
rnacentral:sRNA from 1 species